AGUGAACGCUGGCGGUAGGCCUAACACAUGCAAGUCGAACGGCAGCACAGUAAGAGCUUGCUCUUACGGGUGGCGAGUGGCGGACGGGUGAGGAAUACAUCGGAAUCUACUUUUUCGUGGGGGAUAACGUAGGGAAACUUACGCUAAUACCGCAUACGACCUACGGGUGAAAGCAGGGGAUCUCCGGACCUUGCGCGAUUGAAUGAGCCGAUGUCGGAUUAGCUAGUUGGCGGGGUAAAGGCCCACCAAGGCGACGAUCCGUAGCUGGUCUGAGAGGAUGAUCAGCCACACUGGAACUGAGACACGGUCCAGACUCCUACGGGAGGCAGCAGUGGGAAUAUUGGACAAUGGGCGCAAGCCUGAUCCAGCCAUACCGCGUGGGUGAAGAAGGCCUUCGGGUUGUAAAGCCCUUUUGUUGGGAAAGAAAAGCAGCAGGUUAAUACCCCGCUGUCCUGACGGUACCCAAAGAAUAAGCACCGGCUAACUUCGUG
rnacentral:rRNA from 1 species